CACAGGGUGGGUCAUGUGUGGUGUAGUGGUUAGAGUGUCAGGCUAUGCCCUGGGAGGCCAGGGUUCAAAUCCCCGCUCGGCUGUGA